rnacentral:tRNA from 1 species
GUUGUAGCUCAGUGGUAGAGCAUUUGCCUCACACGCAUGAGGCUCUGGGUUCGAUCCUCAGCGCAACA